CAUGGAAGUUUUUUUCUCUAAAAGGUUUAAAACCCAAAAGAGUAUAUGUAGAUUCAAGAGAGCAGAUAGGAAGCAUGCCUUUCAUUCUACUUACCCCUGAAAUGCCACUAAGAUGACAAUAAGGGGGUUGUCUUUGUAAAAAACAUAAUAAACCCAUAAGGAUGAAAGAAGAGAAAACAGGAACUUGGGGAUCUGGAAAAAAAGAUGGAUAUGUGCCAUUGACUUAGUAGUUUAUAUCACGUGUAGAAGAGGUUCGAAUUAUAUGAAAUGGUCCCACUCCCAAAGUUCAGGAAUUGAUGACAUUAGGUACACUUGAGAGAAAGGACCAUGUAAAGGACAUUGCCAGGAGUCACAUUACCAGGUCCCCCUCCCAGCUCUAGAUAACUGCCUUUCCCCCAACAUGUGUCCCAUCUCAGGUCCUCUCAACCCCCUUUGACUUCAGCCAUGGCUGCACUACCCUGAAUGCUUUCUGCAAUGAGCUUUACUGAAAUUUCUCAGGACACAGCACACAGGUCUGCAUAACCUGGGAGUGGAGAGGCAUUAACUCCAAAGAAACAACCUGCUUCUGUUGGAGGACAAUAGCCAUCAAGAGGAUGCAUUUCAUGUAGCUUCUCAAACAGUUCCAGCAGUAUUCAGCCCUAUCUGCAGAGAAACACCUAAUGACUGAAGCCAGAUUAAAUACAGGAAUAAAAAAGGAGGAAGAAUCCCCC
rnacentral:lncRNA from 1 species